rnacentral:misc_RNA from 1 species
UCCCAACCCCUGUGACAUACCACUUGUUGCCUCGGCGGAUCAGCCCGCUCCCGGUAAAACGGGACGGCCCGCCAGAGGACCCCUAAACUCUGUUUCUAUAUGUAACUUCUGAGUAAAACCAUAAAUAAAUCAAAACUUUCAACAACGGAUCUCUUGGUUCUGGCAUCGAUGAAGAACGCAGC